CUCCUCCUUGGCAACCACAAGUCUGUUCUCUGCGUCUGUUUCUGUUCUGUAGAUAGGUUCAUUUGAGCCAUAUUUUAGAUUCCACAUAUAAGUGACACCAUAUGGCAUUUGUCUUUCUCUUUCUGAUUUACUUCACUUAGGAUGAGAAUCUCUAGUUGCAUCCACUUGCUGCAAAUGGCAUUAUUCUGUCAUUUUUAUGGCUGAGUCGUAUUCCAUUGUAUACAUGUACCACAUCUUCUCAAUCCCUUUAUGGAGGGGAGGUAAAAGACGAGUAAAGGGUUGCUUUUCCUCCAUGGAGCCCUUACUUUUCGGUGGGUACAAGAUCCCAACUCUAGGAUUUUGCAGGCUUUGCAUGACUGUCUAUGUGUGACCUUAAAACAAAAAAUCCAAGUUCAUUUUUUUUUUGUUCUUCCUUCAAACAGUGAAUAAUAAAUGCUUAGAACUAUUAAAAAAAAAAAAACCAAUCCAAGUCCUCCAGUUAGUUGGUAAGAGGUCUGACUUUCCUUCAAAUACACACAAUUCCUGGGAAGAAUGAGUUGUUCCCGACAUUCAGUGUCACCAUCUGGACACCAACUGACUUGGCAAAUAAAACAUGUGAAGAAUGCUGGUCUUUAAUAAAAUGGAUUGCUCUUGGCCUGCAGAUGAAAAUGAACUCAAAAGAGCCAAAUUAUAUAAUUUCCGGCCAAUCUGGGGAUGAUCAACUUCGAAACCUUUGUGGACCCUUUCUUUCCCUGUAUCAUCAUUUGUCAUAUUCUGCUUCCCGUGUUUUUGGAAAGACGGCUGGGUGGAAACCAGGCUGCAGCCGUCAGGCAGCUGUCUUCUGCUAAUGAAGUGCACUUGUGUGAGGUUUUGAAGGUAGAAGAGAAAUGGAAUAUAUUCUUCUUCCCUGUGCAUCGAGGUUGGACAUGGAAGCUGUGAACUGAAGUUUGGCACUUGCCAUCAGCCUCUACAUGGAGUAAAACAGUCCCUGCAGCUGCCGACCCACAAGCCCCCUGAGCGGACCUCAGGGUGGAGGCCAGAGGGAGGCCCUCUGUGCUCUGGGGAUACUGGAAGAACAGGUCUUCAGAUGGUUAGACAUUUUUAGGAGAAGAUUUUAUGAGCCUGAUUCUUGCAUCUCCUCAUAUCUAGAAAAACACUAAAAUUCUUCAGUGAUGACUGAUGUUGGUGACUAGUAGUAACCCUCACGAGACCAGCAGCAAACUUCGACAAAACGUAUGCCUGGCUGCAUGCACCUCCCC
rnacentral:lncRNA from 1 species